UACAGAGGGUGCGAGCGUUGUUCGGAAUUACUGGGCGUAAAGCGCGCGCAGGCGGCCCUUUAAGUCUACCCGUGAAAUGCCGGAGCUCAACUCCGUGCACGCCGGGGGAUACUGGAGGGCUGGAGACGAGUAGAGGCAAGCGGAAUUCCGGGUGUAGCGGUGGAAUGCGUAGAGAUCCGGAAGAACACCGGAGGCGAAGGCGGCUUGCUGGGCUUGGUCUGACGCUGAGGCGCGAAAGCUAGGGGAGCGAACAGG
rnacentral:rRNA from 1 species